rnacentral:siRNA from 1 species
UAUGCAAUGAGAGAAGAUCUA